CAUGCAAGUCGAACGGUAACAGCGGAGCUUGCUCCGGCUGACGAGUGGCGGACGGGUGAGUAACGCGUAGGAAUCUACCCAGUAGCGGGGGAUAGCCCGGGGAAACCCGGAUUAAUACCGCAUACGCCCUACGGGGGAAAGGGGGCCUCUUCUUGAAAGCUCUCACUAUUGGAGGAGCCUGCGUUGGAUUAGCUAGUUGGUGGGGUAAAAGCCUACCAAGGCGACGAUCCAUAGCUGGUCUGAGAGGACGAUCAGCCACACUGGAACUGAGACACGGUCCAGACUCCUACGGGAGGCAGCAGUUAGGAAUAUUGUGCAAUGGGGGAAACCCUGACACAGCCAUGCCGCGUGUGUGAAGAAGGCCUUAGGGUUGUAAAGCACUUUCAGUAGGGAGGAAUUAGCAAGGCUAAUACUCUUGUGAAAUGACGUUACCUACAGAAGAAGAUCCGGCUAACUCCGUGCCAGCAGCCGCGGUAAUACGGAGGGAUCGAACGUUAAUCGGAAUUACUGGGCGUAAAGCGCGCGUAGGCGGCUUGUUAAGUGGGAUGUGAAAGCCCCGGGCUCAAUCUGGGAACUGCAUUCCAAACUGACAGACUUGAG
rnacentral:rRNA from 1 species